UGUAAAUGUGUUUUUAAACACCUGGGCCAUGAGCCAGCUGAGCAUCCAACGCACGCUUCACAACACAUGCACCACCAUCCGGCAAAACCACGCAGAAAUGGCUCCCGUACUGUGGUGCUCCCCGGCCGAGCAGAGACUUGUGACGAGUGCCAAAUGCGUUCUCCCAAGCAACUGGCGAAGCUCGCCAUGCUUUUACUGCUGGCGUUGCUGCUGCUCUGCAAUGGAGUUCGCAACGUUCAUUGCUCAAGGAUCCACGAGAAUAGCGUCGAUCUGCACUCGCUAAUUGAGUUCAACAAGAGCAUCACCGACGAUCCUCAAGGAGCCUUGAGUAACUGGGACACCACAACCCACUUCUGCCACUGGAAUGGUGUCAACUGCACCACGACACCACCGUUCCGUGUCAAGCAGCUUAAACUCAGCGGCUGGAACUUAGGAGGCCAAAUCACCUCCUCUCUUGGAAACUUAAAUUUCCUUGAAACGCUUGACCUUUCAUACAAUAACUUCGUUGGCCCCUUGCCUAUCCUUGGCAAUCUCCAACGAUUGCAGACACUUUAUCUGUACCACAACCGUUUAAAUGGGAUGAUUCCUGAUUCAAUUACCAAUUGUUCCAACUUGGCCAACUUAGAUCUCUCUGUAAACUUGCUAGUGGGUCAAAUUCCUCCCAAACUAGACUUACUUUCGAAACUGUUCUACUUGGAUCUCUCUGGAAACUCACUAGUGGGUCAAAUUCCUCCGAGAUUAGGCUUUCUUAAAAAUCUAGAAUAUCUCUAUCUUGGAUCAAACCAACUCGAGGGGAGCAUUCCUGAUGAGCUUGGGCAAUUGCUGCAAUUGGAACAGCUGCUCCUAGGCAACAAUAAGCUUACAGGUGAAUUCCCAGCCAUCUUGAACUCUUUAGGUUCACUCAAAUAUUUAGGCUUGGGGUCCAAUAUGCUACGCAAUGCAUUGCCAACUAAUAUUGGCGACCGUCUGCCUAAUCUCAUUGAACUUACCUUGGCUGGUAACAUGUUUGAAGGUAACAUCCCAGCUUCCCUAGGCAGCGCUCAAGGUUUAGAACUGAUAGAUUUAUCAAAUAACAGUUUCACUGGGAUAAUUCCUACUUCUUUUCGAAAUCUUUCAAGUCUGACUAUUCUAAACCUUGAGUAUAACCAGCUUGAAACAAGGGACAACAGAGACUGGGAAUUCUUAAAUGCAUUGACAAAUUGUCGAUCCCUAAAGAAACUAUCACUCUCUUACAAUCAGCUCCAGGGACCUAUUCCCCAGUCCGUUGGUAAUCUAUCCCCCAGCCUUGAGAGUCUUCGGCUGACUGGAAACAACUUGUCUGGACAAGUACCCCAGAGCAUCAGAAAACUUAAUGCCUUAACUCAACUUGCACUAGGCGAAAACUAUUUAAGUGGUAGAGUCGAAGGAUGGGUUGGAAACCUAACUUCCCUUCAAUUACUAAAUCUCAAUGACAAUGAAUUCGAUGGCCUGAUACCAGCUAGCUUAGGAAACCUUCCACUCUCGAAGCUAGACCUUGGCUAUAACAAUCUCCAAGGGCAUAUACCACCAAACUUUUGGAACCUCCAAGAACUAACAAUAUUGAACGUCGGCCACAAUAAUCUUCAAGGUGCCAUUCCUGAGAUUGGUACCCUUAAACACCUCACCACAUUAGAUCUUUCUUCAAAUAUGCUUACCGGACAAAUUCCUGAUUCUUUGGGCCAAUGUUACGACUUAGUGAGUCUACAAAUGGACCAAAACUCUCUUAUCGGAAACAUCCCAGCAACUUUUGGCAACCUGUCGUCUCUGAGCAUGCUAAAUCUUUCACACAACAACUUGUCAGGCAACAUACCGACAGUUCUAAACACACUGAAGUUCCUCAACAGUCUUGACCUUUCUCAUAAUCAUCUUCAAGGAGAAAUACCCAUAUAUGGAGUGUUUGACAAUGCUACAGCCAUUUCACUUGAGGAUAAUUGGGGGCUCUGUGGAGGCGCCGUGUUUUUCCACAUGGCUUCAUGCAAAACCAUUUCCAAGCAAUCAGAGAGACGAAACCGUUUGAUUAAAGUGCUGAUCCCAAUAUUCGGGUUCAUGUCAGUCAUAUUGUUGGUCUACCUUUUACUCCUUGAGAAGAAGAUGCGAAGGAGGACAGAUGAUACAUCAACUUCACUAGGGGAGAACUUUAUGAAGGUUUCUUAUGCAGAUCUAGCACAAGCCACAGCAAACUUCUCGGAGUCUAACCUGGUUGGAAGAGGAGGUUAUGGUUCUGUGUAUAGAGGAAAGUUGAAGGAAUCUAAGGUGGAUGUGGCUGUCAAGGUUUUUGAUCUUGAGAUGCACGGAGCAGAGAAAAGCUUUCUGAAAGAAUGUGAGGCACUGCGAAGCAUUCAGCAUAGAAAUCUUCUUCCCAUCCUUACCGCUUGCUCGACAGUAGACAGUACAGGCAAUGUUUUCAAAGCUUUAGUUUAUGAGUUCAUGCCUAAUGGGAACCUAGACACAUGGCUGCAUCCCAGAGAGGACGGGAAGGCUCAUAAACAUUUAAGCUUAGCUCAAAGAUUAGACAUAGCUGUCAACAUGGCUGACGCACUGGAUUAUCUACACCAUGACUGCGGAAGACCCACCAUCCAUUGUGAUUUGAAGCCAAGCAAUAUUCUUCUUGAUGGUGAUAUGACUGCUCUUUUGGGAGACUUUGGAAUUGCAAGUUUCUACCAAGAUUCAUGGUCAACAUCAACCAGUUCAAUGAGUUCAUCAUCAGUCGGUGUGAAGGGUACUAUAGGAUAUAUUGCUCCAGAGUACGCCGGAGGUGGCCGCCGUGCAUCAACCACUGGAGAUGUUUAUGGUUUUGGGAUAAUACUGCUGGAAAUGAUGACUGGAAAAAGACCCACAGAUCCUAUGUUCAAGGAUGGAGUUAGCAUUGUCGACUUUGUGGAUAGCAACUUUCCACAUGAAAUAGUUCAUGUCAUUGACGUCAAUCUCAGCGAAGACUCAGGGGUUGACAUUACUCAAGCAAACAAGGCUUCAGAAAAUUAUGUUCGUGAAUGCUUGGUAUCUAUGCUGCAACUAGCACUUUCCUGUACGCACCCAGUACCAAGCGAACGAAUGAACAUGAAAGAGGUGGCCAGCAAAAUUCAUGCAAUUAAAACAUCAUAUGUGGGACGGAAAACAGAAGAGCGUCCUUCACUAGAGUAA
rnacentral:rRNA from 1 species